rnacentral:rRNA from 1 species
UCAGGCCUAACACAUGCAAGUCGAGGGGUAACAUAGAGAAGCUUGCUUUUCUGAUGACGACCGGCGCACGGGUGCGUAACGCGUAUGCAACCUACCUUUUACAGGGGAAUAGCCCAGAGAAAUUUGGAUUAAUGCCCCAUAGUACUUUUGAUAACCUUAUCAGAUAGUUAAAGCUUCGGCGGUAAAAGAUGGGCAUGCGUUUUAUUAGUUAGUUGGUAAGGUAACGGCUUACCAAGACUACGAUAAAUAGGGGUCCUGAGAGGGAGAUCCCCCACACUGGUACUGAGACACGGACCAGACUCCUACGGGAGGCAGCAGUGAGGAAUAUUGGACAAUGGUCGAGAGACUGAUCCAGCCAUGCCGCGUGCAGGAAGACGGCCCUAUGGGUUGUAAACUGCUUUUAUACAGGAAGAAACCUAUCUACGUGUAGAUAGCUGACGGUACUGUAAGAAUAAGGACCGGCUAA